GAUGGCGCCAAAGCGCUGCGCUGGAGUUGAAGACGGACAGCCGCGCGCGCGUGGUCGCCUUAACAACGCAGUCGACGCAGAUGGUAACUGACGUAACGCUUAGUUCGCUAGCGCGUCAAGUCAGUCAGUCAGUCAGUCAGCUAUAGCCAAGAUUUAAAAUACAUAUAUAUUUUUUUUAAAUGAUUUGUAGCCUAAACGUUUGUGUUGAAAGUGAGCUGUAGUUUCGUUUUUUGCCUGCCAAAAACGUUUUAAUUCUUUGUUUUACUGCUGCACCUUGCUUAAUAAAGGUGUAUGUAAUGCUAGCUAGCUAACAGCUUGCUAACUGUUAACCGUUUGACCGUCCCUGUUUGUGAGACCUAUUGAAAUGGAUGACCAUGAUUCCCUGGGCAGUAUGGACAGCUUACUUCUUCAGCUAGCUCUGCAAACCAGGGACAUCGCUCAGAAGAGGGAUCAGAUCAAUCAACAGAUUCAAAUCGGCAAAGCCAAUGUUGCUGAGAAGAAAUCCUACGUCAUAGGGAUCCAGAAAAACAUCAGGAAGCUCGAGGAGGAAUCUCAUCAUAAGCAGAACAUUGUGAAGCAUCUCAAAGGCAAUACGAAAAGUCUAAAGGGAACUAACGGCCUCCUGCUGCAGUAUGAGAAGACGCUGCAGGCUGAAUUGGAGAGGAGACGAGACAACUGUAAUCAAGACAUGAAAGUGUACCAGGAGAGAAUAGAGCGCUACAGGAAGGUUUUCCAGCAGCACAAAGAGAGUUACUGCAAGAACCCUCUGGCCAAGCAGCUACUGAUGAUUCAGUCAGGAAAAGAAGAGCUGGAAAGCAGGAUCAAAGCUUGUGAGGACCAGAUAACAGCCAAAGAGAAGGCUCUGCAGGAUCUACUAGGUCAAACAUUGUCCAUCGAAAACCCAUUGGAAAGCAUCUCUGGUCUAUUGACGACAGCAGAGUCUCACAGACAGCCAUCGGCUCAGACUGAGGAUGACCAUCAGUCUCCACUAGACAUCUCCUCCCUCCAUGUUUCCCAGGAUGGCCAUGAGAAACACGGAGAGGGAAUUGAAGAGCAUCUAGAGAAGACCGUUGCUCACCCUCCAUCACAUGAAGACACACACUGUGACCUGUGGUCAUACCCAGAGGCAAUGGAUGGAAUACACGCUUCAGACCAGGAGGAGGGAAGUUUACUAGAGGAACAGAAGGAGUGUCUGAACACCUCCAGUACAGUGGGGAUGGAGGAGGUGAAGGAGAGGGGGAUUGAGGGAGGAGAAGAACAGCCUACACCCCUCAUUACUGAGGCGGAGGAGAAUGAAGGGAUGGGAGCAGCAUUCUCUCCUCAGACUCCUGCUAGAAUGAAAGCUGUGUCCAGCACCCCAACCUUUUCCCUGAACAGUAGCCACAGUGGGUCACCUAGUCAGCUAGACGGAUCCACAGUGAAAUCCCCAGGCUUCCUGUUCUCCAUGAGCUCAGCUCCUAGCCCCACCACCCCCGACUUCUCUGGCUUCCACUGUGGCUUUGAACUGGGCUCAGGCCAGGAGGAAGAGCCUCCUUUCCCCUUCAGCAGCUCAUAUUUCAGCAGUGAAAAGAAACCGUCAGGAUCCAGAUCGCCAUCAGGCUUCCUGUUUGCCCGGCCAGAGUCGGAGAAGUCAGAAGAUGGAUUUGAGUUCCCCUUCAGCUCUAAGAGUCCUGGUCAACCGUCAACCAGCAGAGAGAAGGGAUCAGGGGCUGGGGACUCCUUCCCUUUCUCCUUUAACUUCUAG
ensembl:lncRNA